rnacentral:tRNA from 1 species
GGAGAAAUGGCUCAGUGGUUUAAGAGCACUGACUACUCUCCAGAGAACCUGGGUUCAAAUCCCAGCACCC